GACGAACGCUGGCGGCGUGCUUAACACAUGCAAGUCGAACGGAAAGGCCCCUUUGGGGGUCCUCGAGUGGCGCACGGGUGAGUAACACGUGAGUAACCUGCCCUUGACUUCGGGAUAACUUCAGGAAACUGGGGCUAAUACCGGAUAGGAAUCCUUGCUGCAUGGUGGGGGUUGGAAAGCUUCGGCGGUUUUGGAUGGACUCGCGGCUUAUCAGCUUGUUGGUGGGGUAGUGGCUUACCAAGGCUUUAACGGGUAGCCGGCCUGAGAGGGCGACCGGCCACAUUGGGACUGAGAUACGGCCCAGACUCCUACGGGAGGCAGCGGUGGGGAAUAUUGCACAAUGGGCGGAAGCCUGAUGCAGCAACGCCGCGUGCGGGAUGACGGCCUUCGGGUUGUAAACCGCUUUCAGCAGGGGCGAAGCUUGUGGUGACGGUACCUGCAGAAGAAGCACCGGCUAACUACGUG
rnacentral:rRNA from 1 species